AAAUAAAAUAAAAUCAUUGGCUUAUUAGAUGAUGCAGUAUGUUGGAUUCUCUGAAUGAGCCGUAUACUGGACCCUAUUUGAUGAUAACUUUAAGAAAAAAUUGGGCAAUUAGAGGACUCAUUCAUCAGGCCUAUAUAAGGGCCCAUUGUCAUUUACUCUCACCGUCUCAAUGCGGCGCUUUUCAUAAGCCUAGUCUUCCUUUUUAACACUUGCAAGAACUUUAUAGAUUCUUACACACACAAAAGGAAAAAUAAGAAGAAUAUCAGGUUAGUGUAGACGAGAUAGUAAAGUGCAGAAUAAACAAAACACAACUUUUAUCUUUUUUAAUUCACUAGAACAAGAAAAAGCAAAUAUAACGUAUUUGAUAAAAGCAUUGAUUAGGCACAAUCAUCUUUACAUAACGCUCUUUUUAUUACAAAAACUCUUUAGGAUUAAUUGAUUCUAAGCUAAAACUUUCUCUAGAGCCUAAAUUUCAUUUUUUUAAAAUUCAAAAGUAUAUGUCAACGAGUACUUCAACACCCAAAAUACAACACUAACUCCAAAUGCUUGACC
rnacentral:lncRNA from 1 species